GGAUUAGAUACCCUGGUAGUCCACGCCGUAAACGAUGUCUACUAGUUGUUGGGGAACUUGAUUCCUUAGUAACGAAGCUAACGCGAUAAGUAGACCGCCUGGGGAGUACGGCCGCAAGGUUAAAACUCAAAUGAAUUGACGGGGGCCCGCACAAGCGGUGGAGCAUGUGGUUUAAUUCGAAGCAACGCGAAGAACCUUACCAACUCUUGACAUCCAGAGAACUUAGCAGAGAUGCUUUGGUGCCUUCGGGAACUCUGAGACAGGUGCUGCAUGGCUGUCGUCAGCUCGUGCCG
rnacentral:rRNA from 1 species